rfam:Triticum aestivum genome assembly, contig: Triticum_aestivum_CS42_TGACv1_scaffold_289507_4AL
AAUGUACUCCCUCUGUCCAGAAAUACUUGUUGUAAAAAUGACUAAAAAUGGAUGUAUCCAACACUAAAAUACGUCUAGAUACGUUCAUUCCUCCGACAAGUAUUUCCGGACGGAGGGAGUAGUAU